rnacentral:rRNA from 1 species
UACGUAGGGUCCGAGCGUUGUCCGGAGUUACUGGGCGUAAAGCGCGCGCAGGCGGCUGUCCAAGCCCGGCGUGAAAGCCCCCGGCUCAACCGGGGAGGGUCGUCGGGGACUGGGCGGCUUGAGGACGGCAGGGGUCGGUGGAAUUCCCGGUGUAGUGGUGAAAUGCGUAGAGAUCGGGAGGAACACCCGUGGCGAAGGCGGCCGACUGGGCCGGACCUGACGCUGAGGCGCGAAGGCGUGGGGAGCGAAC